ensembl:snRNA U6 U6 spliceosomal RNA
UUGCUUUGGCACCACAUAGACUAAAAUUGGAAUGAUGCAGGUAAGGUUAGUGUGGCCCCUGUGCAAGGGUGUGGUGCAAACUCAUGGAGCAUUGGAGAUUUUU